UACGGAGGGGGCUAGCGUUGUUCGGAAUUACUGGGCGUAAAGGGCGCGUAGGCGGAUGGCACAGUCAGAUGUGAAAUUCCCGGGCUUAACCUGGGGGCUGCAUUUGAUACGUGUUGUCUUGAGUUCGGAAGAGGGUCGUGGAAUUCCCAGUGUAGAGGUGAAAUUCGUAGAUAUUGGGAAGAACACCGGUGGCGAAGGCGGUGACCUGGUCCGACACUGACGCUGAGGCGCGAAAGCGUGGGGAGCAAACAGG
rnacentral:rRNA from 1 species